rnacentral:rRNA from 1 species
UACGUAGGGGGCAAGCGUUAUCCGGAUUUACUGGGUGUAAAGGGAGCGUAGACGGCUUUGCAAGCCAGAUGUGAAAGCCCGGGGCUCAACCCCGGGACUGCAUUUGGAACUGUAUGGCCGGAGUGUCGGAGAGGCAGGCGGAAUUCCUAGUGUAGCGGUGAAAUGCGUAGAUAUUAGGAGGAACACCAGUGGCGAAGGCGGCCUGCUGGACGAUGACUGACGUUGAGGCUCGAAAGCGUGGGGAGCAAACAGG